rnacentral:rRNA from 1 species
GAUGAACGCUAGCGGCAGGCCUAAUACAUGCAAGUCGAACGAAGUGGCGCACGGGUCCGUAACGCGUGUGCAACCUACCUCUGCCAGGGGGAUAGCCCGGCGCAAGGCGGAUUAAUACCGCAUGGACAGAGAUGGGCUCGCGUUACAUUAGCUAGUUGGAGAGGUAUAGUCUCAUCAAGGCAACGAUGUCCAGGGGCUCUGAGAGGGGAAUCCCCACACUGGUACUGAGACACGGACCAGACUCCUACGGGGGGCAGCAGUAAGGAAUAUUGGUCAAUGGAGGGAACUCUGAACCAGCCAUGCCGCGUGCAGGAUGACUGCCUAUGGGUUGUAAACUGCUUUUAUCGGAGAAUAUGUACCCGAAGAAUAAGGAUCGGCUAACUCCGUGCCAGCAGCCGCGGUAAUUC